rnacentral:rRNA from 1 species
GUUUUUAAUUGGUCGCUUUUUUUUGGGUUUUGUUAGCGUGCGUGCAUGCUCGCUCCGGCGGGUGGGAGCUCGCUCUUGGUGAGCGUGCGUGCUGAGUGAGUCGUUUAGUACGCGGCGGCGGGAGGUAGGAAGCGGUGGCGGCGAGGUAGGGAAGCGGCGGCGGCGAGGUAGGGAAGCGGCGGCUGGAGCGUGUAGUUUCGGCGGCGGCGAGGUAGGGAAACGGCGACGGGUGCUAGGUGAAGUCCUCUGCGGCAGCUAGGGCAACUCCUGGACGACGGGUAGUACAGCUCCUAGGCUUCUACUAGGGGAAGUCCUCGGAACGGCUAGGAAGAGGUGUGCGGUGGCGGAGGGAACGCUUCUGCGGAACGGUACCUAUAGUUAGCCGCGGUGCUGCUGGCACCGGAGGGGUGGGCGGCUGCAAGGUCUAGGCCGGUAGCAACUGGGGGAGGUGUAGUCACUAACCAGUUCCAUCCCCACACACCGAGAUAGGUAGAAGGGCGCACAUGCCACAGGUACAUAGGGCCCGUUCCCACGAACACUCUAGCCCUCCGCUAGUUUUCCUCCUUCUCCUCUAGGUACCAACCCCUAUGUAAGUUGCUGGAUCCGUAGUAGGAGGGACUGCAGCAUGAGCUUCGGGCGUCGGUAACGGAAGAGUUAGAUACAAUCAGUCGUCGUCGUUCCAGUCCGGGGUGAUAUAAAAGAAGUCUAGAACGUAGCGGUACCACUGAGGUGUUUUAAACAUGUAGGUAACGGCUGCAACCAUAAAUAAGUCGUCUCUUAAUUGUUGUCAUCUGGUUUCGUUUCCCCCCAGUCGGACUUACCCUGCAUAGGGGAAGGUCUCCUGAGCGGGAUCGAUUGGACGUGCCAUGGAAAGUUAUCGUGAAGAGGGUCAUUCAAACGUUUAAAACCUAGGUGGUGAAAACUUAGUACGAACCACACACGACUGCCACGUGCUCCUUGCACUGCCAAAAAGAGACUUAGUACGGUAUCAAGAGAGUUAUAACAUGCACAACAAGAGAGUCGUAACAUGCAGAACAAGAGACGUACUACACACCAGCUACCCGUCUCCGCUGCUGACCGCCGACAAGAUAAAUGUGGACUGUACCAACUCUCCGAUCCCUCGUCCGCUAAAACGUGAGCAUAAACCAACCGUUACCUCUACUUAAACACUCUCUACACCGACCUUCAACGUGGCCAGUAAAAAGACGGGAGAGAUACAAUAGGGAAACGUGAUUAGCCAUUAACGAAAAACUGGUCCCCUAUCCCAUCGCAUGUGCUUGUCGUUUUAACAUCUUCUGCUCCUCCUGUUAGACUCACUGGUUGUAAUACACCUCAUAACUCUACGUCUAGGCAGAAGUGACUGUCGUGCGCGAACAGACACUGGAGGGUGGUCGUUGCGGAACUCCAGUGGGUGUGUUCGCUGGUUCGUUAAGGUGCGACAGUGGGAGACGAUGAAGCGGUUGCUGUAGCUCCUCCAGCACCCACUCUCGAUGACAGGAGGGACCUCUUGUACGAGCACGGGGUACGCAUGCUUCUUCUCGAUUCUGUGAGCGUACCCACGAGUUCCUUUAUGUGGUCUAACUCGUUCUCACAAUGCGUUAAAUAGUUGUUCUCGUUUCUGAGGUUAGACUACUACAUCCUGUCGAAAUUACACUGUCUCCUAGUACCACCAGCUACCUAACACGUGGGCCAUCAUCUGAUCCUUUCCUUGUAAUAAAUGCCUUGUGUUACUAUAAGUCUCGUCGGGACGUGAUACACUCUAAAUCUUCAACCAUGACGGCCGCCUACGUAGGUACACGAUUAGAGGACCGUGGCGCAUCUGCCUCGGUUUGCUCAACCCCGGAGGCCGGCCGACCAUCACCUGUUGUUGUGGCCCAAACAAUUAAUUAGUUGUUCAGUGUCUAACAGGAGAAAAAACUAACCAGACCAGACCUAAUAGUCCGGACGGCGCGUUAGUAUCUAAAUAGAAAACUAAAUACACCCACCUGUCUUUGUGGGAAAGAUUUCAAAAGAUCCCUAACAUUACUUCGUGCCAUUGUGUGAGGUCGUAAGUAAGAAACGAACUAUAAUCGUUUGUUACAUUUUAUUGGUUCGAGUGUUGUAAGAUUUCGCCAGAUAAUCGAUGAAGUCGUCUGUUGUCUGUCUUUCUUCAUUCGUCACAAACUAAACGAGUAUGGGCACCUCCCUAGCUUAAGACGGGUUUCAAACAGCGUCGUGAACACCAGUCGUCGCUCCUACUCGUGGGUGUGGGCGAGGAACAACGACCGGAGACGUAGGAGGAGGGAACUUCCCCCAGAUACGCCCCUCAACUAGAUCUUAUAGGAUAACAAUCUAUAUUGUUUAUCCACUGUUCUUUAUUUGUUCUUGAUACAUCAUGUUAUAUACACAGUGUGUCAUAUGAAACUUUUACACAUUAAACUCUAAGACUAUAUCUACAUCCGGACAUUGUGUGGAACUUGUACGUGACUUUUAACAACAAAUGUCAGACUAAAGAUUUGCACUACUUUUGGGG